AGAGUUUGAUCAUGGCUCAGGAUGAACGCUAGCUACAGGCUUAACACAUGCAAGUCGAGGGGAAACGACAUCGAAAGCUUGCUUUUGAUGGGCGUCGACCGGCGCACGGGUGAGUAACGCGUAUCCAACCUGCCCACCACUUGGGGAUAACCUUGCGAAAGUAAGACUAAUACCCAAUGACGUCUCUAGAAGACAUCUGAAGGAGAUUAAGAUUUAUCGGUGAUGGAUGGGGAUGCGUCUGAUUAGCUUGUUGGCGGGGUAACGCCCACCAAGGCGACGAUCAGUAGGGGUUCUGAGAGGAAGGUCCCCCANAUUGGAACUGAGACACGGUCCAACUCUACGGGAGCA
rnacentral:rRNA from 1 species